UACGUAGGUGGCAAGCGUUGUCCGGAAUUAUUGGGCGUAAAGCGCGCGCAGGCGGUCCUUUAAGUCUGAUGUGAAAGCCCCGGGCUCAACCUGGGAGGUGCGCUUGAUACUCGAGGGCUUGAGUGCGGGAGAGGAGAGUGGAAUUCCCAGUGUAGAGGUGAAAUUCGUAGAUAUUGGGAAGAACACCGGUGGCGAAGGCGGCUCUCUGGACCGUAACUGACGCUGAGGCGCGAAAGCGUGGGGAGCAAACAGG
rnacentral:rRNA from 1 species